rnacentral:ncRNA from 1 species
ACGGAAGCCCGGUAAGGCCUAGGUCGGUCCGGAAGAGAAGGUUCGUCCUCCCGAACCGGGCGCCCAGCACGGUGCCCGGCACCCACGCCGAGUCACAGCCGCGAUAAUGGCAGAAGUGUUGCGGGCCUGCGUAAUUGCGAAAAUUUGACGGUGCCGACGGCCCUUUGGGUGGGGUUGCAACCGAAAGUUUCGCAAGAUCGCCGAGGCCAACCCACGCAACCCAGAGAUGCACGCUUGGUAACCGGGUUCCGUGCUAGCGGGCGGCGGACCGAAUUCGUUCGGGACGUCGCCCGCUUCGCUUA